rnacentral:rRNA from 1 species
GACAGAGGGUGCAAACGUUGUUCGGAAUUACUGGGCGUAAAGCGUGUGUAGGCGGCUUGGCAAGUCGGAUGUGAAAGCCCUGGGCUCAACCCAGGAAGUGCACUCGAUACUGCCGAGCUUGAGUAUCGGAGAGGUUGGUGGAAUUCUCGGUGUAGAGGUGAAAUUCGUAGAUAUCGAGAGGAACACCGGCGGCGAAGGCGGCCAGCUGGACGAAUACUGACGCUGAGACACGAAAGCGUGGGGAGCAAACAGG